ensembl:snRNA U6 U6 spliceosomal RNA
GUGCUGACUUCAGCAGCACACAUACAAAAAUUGGAACAAUAUAGAGAUUAGCACAGCCCUUGUGUAAGGAUGACAUACAAAUUCAUGAAGUGGCCCAUAUGAAA